AUACUCAAUAAUAUAGAAUAAAACUCAAAACUUUAUUUCACUAUAAUCAGAAUUAAGCAAUAUAAAAAUAGAAACUACUUAGAGAUUAAUAAAAACAAAAUUAACUACUUUAGAACUAAUAAUCCUAAAUUAACUACUUUAGAACUAAUAAUCCUGAUCAAUAAAAUAUUGAUCUAUGGAUAUUCUUAAUUAUUCUUCUCUCCCUUAGAUGGAGACGCACGUGGUGGAUGCUUGAAUUUUGGCCAUGAAUGAUAAGGAAAUUGGUGACGGAAACCUCCAGAAGACAUGGGUGGAUGAGCAAAUGCCCAUGGACGUGGAUGGAACCAUGGAUGACGCGGAUACCAAAACCACCAAUCUAGUUCCUUAUCAGCGGCUUCUGUAGUGGCAAUUUCAGCUUCUGUAGUGGCAAUUUCAGAUUUUGAAGAUGGAGACGCACGUGGUGGAUGCUUGAACCAUGGAUGAGAAGGAAACUUGUGGCGGAAACCGCCAGAAGACAUGGGUGGAUGAGCAAAUGCCCAUGGACGUGGAUGGAACCAUCGAUGACGAUACCACCAAAACCACCAAUUUGGUUCCAUAUUAGUUUCUGCAGUAUCCAUUUCAUCAUUUGAAAAUGAAUCGGGAUUCUCACUACUUGCUAAACAUAAGUUAACAAGUAGAAAAAUGCAGAUGAGAAAGGUAAUAAUGGAAUUUUUCUUAGCCAUAGCUAAUAGUAAGUUUUUCUUUUUUUGUAACUCUUGUGAUGAAAAUGAAGGGUGUGGUGGGGAUUUUAUACG
rnacentral:lncRNA from 1 species